ensembl:lncRNA
CCCAGGAGAGGCAUUUGCUUAUCUCUCCACACAGAACACCCAGAGUCUUCAGAGGGGUCAGCGUGUGGUGGGAAGGGGUUCAGGAGGCUUAGCUUCCUUUAGAGAGUUCACCCGGCUUGUCUGGGGAAGAAGAGGCGAGCUGGCUACCGGUGUGGUUAUUCUUCUCAUUAAUAUGGCUUUGCUUCCCCCCAAACACUUCCUUGUGUUCAGGGUCAGCCCCUCUUCCCAGAAGCGAUGCCUCGUCUUCUCCUCCCCGAUCCCAUCUCCCCUCCAUACAAGGUCUCAACCAAGCAGAUGAGAACGAAAGAUUUAUUUUGUAAAACUCGGGGACUUCCCUGGUGGCUCAGUGGUAAGGAAUCCACCUGGCAAUGCAGCAGGCAUGGGUGAUCCCUGGUGCAGGAAGAUCCCACAUGUUGUGGGGCAACUAAGCCCGAGUGCCGCAACCACUGAGCCUGUGCUCUAAGGUCCACAGUUCCUGAAGCCCGCGGGCCCUAGAGCCCGUGCGGCACAAGAGACGCCACUGCAAUGAGAAGCCUGAGCACCACAAAUGGAGAGGCGCCAGCGCAGCCGCGAAGACCCAGCACAGACAAAGAUAAACAAACCUGUGGCCUUGGGCUCAGAGCCCGUAAAGCGGUGCAAGGCACCUCAGCCUCCCCCUGUUCCCCAGAAGAUCUUGUUUAACUCCUGCUGUUUUCCCCAGUAUUGAAAAGUUCUUGGGUUUUUUUGUUUGUUUAUGUCACGAUAAUUAACUCUGGGUGCCUAUUGCUCUCUUUUCUCUUUCCACCCAGCAAAAAGACAACAGAAGGAUACAUCUGGAAGUCUCUCCUGUCACUAGAGGGGCACACAAGUGGCCAGAGAGAGCCUCUUUUUCAUGGAACGUUCCAGGUCAACCCUCGCCUCACCUUCUCUCCCAGCUGGGAGUUACGAGCGCAGUCUUUCCCAGUUGACUCCUUUCUGCCAGGAAGGAGACUAGAGGAUUCUUCCUGGGGACCUGGCACAAGAGAAAGUCCUACUGAUGCAGAUGUUCGGUUUCCACAGAGAAAGGCACAGCAGAGGUCCUCAGCGUUGGGUAUACACAGAAAUCAACGGGGAUGCUUUAAAAAUUACUAAUGCCGGGUCCCACCCCCACAAGUCUGAUUUAGUUGUUUUGCAGGGAGAGCAGGUUCAAGAGCUCCCCAGCUGAUUCUAACAUGCAAGCAAGCUGAGCACUCUGCUGCCUGCCUGCCAGUGAAGCUCAGUCACUAAGCUCCACCCACUGCUCAGUUUCCAGUCUGAUUUUUGACGCCCCUCCCCCAAAAUGGGAGCCGACAAGCAUCAUCAGAUAUCUGAGAAACAGAUGAAGCCAAAACUAACAAAAAGCAACUGGUGGCUCAAUGCCCCCAGCAGGGAACACAUCUGUCCUGUUGGUUUGGAGCCCACGGUCACAUCCCUUGGAUAUAGUUAUAAGCUCUUCAAGUCUCCCCUUUCCACUCGGUUGUGCUCCCAGCUGUCAAGGCGCUCCUCCUGAAACUCACGUGCUGGUGUGCAGUGUCGCUGUCCUGCUCAGAGCCCUCUGUGGCUCCCCGGCGCCCUCUGAAGUACGGUGCCCACCGCCAUGGCAAGUGCUAUCAAAGACUGAGCAAAUCGCUGCUGCCCCCACCCGCUCACCCCCCAACCACUCCCCACCGCAGCUUUGGACCCUGCCUGGGCCCCACUACCUGGGAGAAGGAGAUGGGGCCAGACCCCCGAGGGGACAGCUUAUCAC